rnacentral:rRNA from 1 species
CCUACGGGAGGCAGCAGUGAGGAAUAUUGGUCAAUGGCCGGAAGGCUGAACCAGCCAUGCCGCGUGAAGGUCAGUGCCCUAUGGGCGUUAAACUUCUUUUGUGCGGGAGCAAUAAUGGUCACGUGUGGCCAGACGAGAGUACCGUACGAAUAAGCAUCGGCUAACUCCGUGCCAGCAGCCGCGGUAAUACGGGGGAUGCAAGCGUUUUCCGGAUUUAUUGGGUGUAAAGGGUGCGUUUGGUGUGAGGUAAGUCAGCGGUGAAAUGCCGCCGCGCAAAGGGGUGAAGUGCCAUUGAUACUGGCGUGCUGGAAUGCGGAUGCCGUGGGCGGAAUGUGUGGUGUAGCGGUGAAAUGCAUAGAUAUCACACAGAACACCGAUUGCGAAGGCAUCUCACGAAUCCGCGAUUGACGCUGAUGCAUGAAAGCGUGGGUAUCAAACAGGAUUAGAUACCCUUGUAGUC